UAUAACUUCAUAUACGUGUGCAUGUAUGUAAAAAAGAACCCAUUCUACUCAUGAAAUAGCUUUAGUUUAAAAAGAGAAAAAAAUAUAUAUACAACAAAAUGUAUAGUUUAGUAAGUCCUUGUCAGUUUACAUUAGAUAUUGUUUUUAUCAAUUCUGUAAUUUUCACAUAGUAUUACUACUACUACAAAUAUAAAGUUUCUGGUUCCACAACUUGCUCAUACAGGAAGCUGUUGCAGACAUUUUAUUAGGUAAAAUUUUAGUACUAGUGUUAUUAGGGAAAAAUUACUAUUAAUGACUGGUAAUUUUUAACUACAUAUAGAUUUAAACCACUGAGGACCUCUUAUCUCUUCAAUGAAUAAUGUACAAGUUCAUAAGGAGCUAUGUCUUGUUAUUUUAUAUGUUAUUUUCACAGAGACACUUCAGAGAGUUGGCAAAAAAAAAAGUCCAAAAAUAUCAUUUAAAAUGUGAUGCUCAGAAAGAAUUUGACAUAAUUCUGUAUUGUAUUCUGCUGGGUUGUAUUUUGCUAUUUCAUUCAUGUAAACAUCCAAUUCAUCCUUAGGGUAGUCGACAGCCAGUUUGUGAUUUUUCAUUUGUAGUUAUUUUAAUUUAAUUUUUUUCUUUCCAGCCAUAUAUAGCACUGGUUAUCAUUGAGGGUCUAAAAAAAAAACCUAAAAUGUGAAUCCUUUUAGGAAUAAAUUGUAAGAAUUUGCAAAUUGGUCUAUAACACAUAAUUAUGUAGGCGUACCUUAUCCUGAAAAUAUUGUUUUAAUUCUCUUUUAAAGGCUUUGAGAAAAGAUGGCAUAUAAUAUAUCCUACAAUAUAUAGAUUAGUAUACUUUUUAAGAACAAG